rnacentral:lncRNA from 1 species
AUUUAAGGUAUGUGGGAGGAAUUGAGCAGGUUCUCUAUAAACACUAUUGUCAUUUUAUCUAAGGACUUGAGUCUUCCCAGCAUUUGGUAUCUUUGGUGAUCCUGAAAUAGACCCCUGUGGGUGCCAAGGAUGACUCUAUCUAAUGAAAUUCACAUUAUAAUAUGAACUUACAAAUGAUACCACCAAGUGACCCGAGAAUUCAGAGUCCCAUCACUAACUGAGAAACCAUAAGCUGGGUAGCUUGAAAAGAGAGAGGGGAUGCCUGGACCACAUGAAGAACUUCAGAAGUGCUUGUCCUGUCCUUGCUAGUGGUUGUCCAGUUGGUGUCUGUUAAGGUCUGUAAACAAGUCAGGAUGGCGCCUGGCAUUUUGCAGAGGGAGUGGUUUGUGAAGUAACGCCAGCGAGCCAUUAAGUGUGGAGAUUCCUUAUUGGUUGACUGCUGUAUCUAGUUUAUGUUAAUUAGAUAAGCUGUGUGGAAUGUAUAUAUACCCCUCCUGUCCUACAAUAAACGGCUCCCACUCCUGCUGUAUCAAUGUACACAAGUUCCUCAUCACCCCCCGGUUAUUUUGCUGCAGCCGGACUGCGGCAGGUAUCAUUUAGGGACAUCUGUGGAUAUAGAGAAAAAAGGAUGGUUAGUUCCCUCCUCCCUCAGCAGCUCUCAGCCCACAUGUUCCGUGACUCCCCCAGCUUGGGACAGAAUGGAAACCCGAGCAGAAUAAAGUUGAGUCAAUCAUUGGUCAAGGCACCCAGUCAGCAGCUGGUGAGGUCGUCAGCUGGGGGCCAGGUGAUGCCCAGUGGGUGUGACUCACUCUCUCCCCUCUUUCCUGGUGACUGAGCUUCCAGACUGGAGACACUGGGCUGCCUUCCUCUGACACCCGUGGUAACUUUGGUUGGAAGGGAAAACAUCUGGGGUAGCUUCCGGGAGCAAUCUCCAAAGACCGAAAGGGAUAAUCAGGCUUCAUAAAUUGGGUUGACUAGACAAUGAAAUAUUUAUUGUGAUUCCCUCCUCUCUCUCUCUUUUUGAAGUUCAAAAAUCCUUGUCAUCCUGGGAUGAAGCCUGUGUACACAUGAGAAGAAUUCACAAUUAGCUCAGAAGUAGCCUGUUACCACUGACUGAUGACCUCCACCCGCAGCCGGCAGAAGGCAGGGUGGGACCUGCACAUGCGCUCCACUUAAUUGUCUGGUUUUUUUUUUUUUACUCCCCUAAUAAAACAGAAAAGUCCAUGAAACAAAAGAAAGCAAUCAAAUAAAUAAAUAAAUGAG